AUUGAACGCUGGCGGCAGGCCUAACACAUGCAAGUCGAGCGAGCGGCGGACGGGUGAGUAAUGUAUGGGAAUCUGCCUGAUGGAGGGGGAUAACUACUGGAAACGGUAGCUAAUACCGCAUACCACCCGCUGAGCCCUGAUGGGAUUAGCUAGUAGGUGGGGUAAAGGCUCACCUAGGCGACGAUCCCUAGCUGGUCUGAGAGGGUGACCAGCCACACUGGAACUGAUACACGGGCCAGACUCCUACGGGAGGCAGCAGUGGGGAAUAUUGCGCAAUGGGCGCAAGCCUGAUGCAGCCAUGCCGCGUGUGUGAAGAAGGCCUUCGGGUUGUAAAGCACUGUCAGCGGGGAGGCGUUACUCGCAGAGGAAGCACCGGCUAACUCCGUGCCAGCAGCCGCGGUAAUAC
rnacentral:rRNA from 1 species